rnacentral:rRNA from 1 species
CGGUGAGCCGCGAAUAGCUCAUUACAACAGCCAUAGUUUAUUGGAUCUUCUCUCUACUUGGAUACCUGUGGUAAUUCUAGAGCUAAUACACGCAUACAAGCUCUGACGUUAGGAAGAGCGCAUUUAUUAGAACAAAACCAAUCGGGCUUGCCCGUGCUUUGGUGAAUCUGAAUAACUCAGUUGAUCGCACAGUCCUUGCACUGGCGACGUAUCUUUCAAGUGUCUGCCUUAUCAACUUUCGAUGGUAGUUUACAUGACUACCAUGGUUGUAACGGGUAACGGAGAAUAAGGGUUCGACUCCGGAGAGGGAGCCUGAGAAACGGCUACCACAUCCAAGGAAGGCAGCAGGCGCGCAAAUUACCCACUCUCAGUACGAGGAGGUAGUGACGAAAAAUAACGAGACGGUUCUCUAUGAGGUCCGUCAUCGGAAUGGGUACAAUUUAAACCCUUUAACGAGGAUCUAUUGGAGGGCAAGUCUGGUGCCAGCAGCCGCGGUAAUUCCAGCUCCAAUAGCGUAUAUUAAAGUUGUUGCGGUUAAAAAGCUCGUAGUUGGAUCUGCGGUCUCGCAAGCUGGUGUACCCUCCGGGUACUACUGGUUUUGCAGGCCUACCUCGCUGGUUUUCCCUUGGUCCUCUUCACUGAGUGCCUUGGGUGACCAGCAAGUUUACUUUGAAAAAAUUAGAGUGCUCAAAGCAGGCGCGUAGCCUGAAUAGUGGUGCAUGGAAUAAUGGAAUAGGACCUUGGUUCUAUUUUGUUGGUUUUCGGAGCGCGAGGUAAUGAUUAAGAGGGACAGACGGGGGCAUUCGUAUUGCUGCGUUAGAGGUGAAAUUCUUGGAUCGCAGCAAGACGGACAACUGCGAAAGCAUUGCCAAGAA